GGCCGUACUCCCCAGGCGGAGUGCUUAACGCGUUAGCUACAGCACUAAAGGGAAUAACCCCUCUAACACUUAGCACUCAUCGUUUACGGCGUGGACUACCAGGGUAUCUAAUCCUGUUUGCUCCCCACGCUUUCGCGCCUCAGUGUCAGUUACAGACCAGAGAGCCGCCUUCGCCACUGGUGUUCCUCCACAUCUCUACGCAUUUCACCGCUACACGUGGAAUUCCGCUCUCCUCUUCUGCACUCAAGUCCCCCAGUUUCCAAUGACCCUCCACGGUUAAGCCGUGGGCUUUCACAUCAGACUUAAGGGACCGCCUGCGCGCGCUUUACGCCCAAUAAUUCCGGAC
rnacentral:rRNA from 1 species